rnacentral:rRNA from 1 species
AUUGAACGCUGGCGGCAGGCCUAACACAUGCAAGUCGAACGGUAGCAGGAAGAAGCUUGCUUCUUUGCUGACGAGUGGCGGACGGGUGAGUAAUGUCUGGGAAACUGCCUGAUGGAGGGGGAUAACUACUGGAAACGGUAGCUAAUACCGCAUAACGUCGCAAGACCAAAGAGGGGGACCUUCGGGCCUCUUGCCAUCAGAUGUGCCCAGAUGGGAUUAGCUAGUAGGUGGGGUAACGGCUCACCUAGGCGACGAUCCUUAGCUGGUCUGAGGGGAUGACCAGGCACACUGGAACUGAGACACGGUCCAGACUCCUACGGGAGGCAGCAGUGGGGAAUAUUGCACAAUGGGGGCAAGCCUGAUGCAGCCAUGCCGCGUGUGUGAAGAAGGCCUUCGGGUUGUAAAGCACUUUCAGCGGGGAGGAAGGGGGAAUGGUUAAUAACCAUAGCCAUUGACGUUACCCGCAGAAGAAGCACCGGCUAACUCCGUGCCAGCAGCCGCCGUAA